UACAGAGGUCCCAAGCGUUGUUCGGAAUUACUGGGCGUAAAGGGCUCGUAGGCGGCCAACUAAGUCGGACGUGAAAUCCCCAGGCUCAACCUGGGAACUGCGUCCGAUACUGGAUGGCUUGAAUCCGGGAGAGGGAUGCGGAAUUCCAGGUGUAGCGGUGAAAUGCGUAGAUAUCUGGAGGAACACCGGUGGCGAAGGCGG
rnacentral:rRNA from 1 species